rnacentral:rRNA from 1 species
UAUCUCUGUAGAGUCUGCAUAUCAAUAAGCGGAGGAAAAGAAACUAACAAGGAUUCCCUUAGUAACGGCGAGUGAAGCGGGAAGAGCUCAAAUUUGAAAUCUUCAAGGUUCUACCUUGACGAAUUGUAGUUUAAAGAAGUGUUUUCUGUUAGAUGAGUAGCAAAAGUUCCUUGGAAUGGGACAUCAUAGAGGGUGAGAAUCCCGUAUUUGGUUAUUCAUUCUAGCUUUGCGAUACACUUUCAAAGAGUCGGAUUGUUUGGGAAUGCAGUCCAAAAUGGGUGGUAAAUUUCAUCUAAAGCUAAAUAUUGGCGAGAGACCGAUAGCGAACAAGUACCGUGAGGGAAAGAUGAAAAGAACUUUGAAAAGAGAGUUAAACAGUACGUGAAAUUGUCAAAAGGGAAGCGUUUGACACCAGUGUUGUUUUUUCCGAAAAUCAAUUACGAAUGGCUUGAUUUUGUGUUGUAUUGACCUUAUCAGCUUUCUUCACUUUUUUCAAGUCUUUCUUAAUGCACUUUUUGGUUAACAAGUCAACAUCAAUUUCUUUUGUUGUAAAAGAGUAUUCGGAAGGUGGCUUUCUUUUCGGAGAAAGUGUUUAUAGCCCUAUACUUCUACAAUCGGAGAGAUUGAGGUCUGCAGCGUAGAUCCUUCGGGGUUAGAUACACUUGUGCUAAGUUGUAGCUUUUCAUAGACAACUUGUUGACUAUGUUUAGUCAUGCGGCUUACUCGCUUGUGCUAUUUUACCUACGCUUAGGAUGUUGACUGAUAUGUAGUCGU